GCAAACCGUGAGAGAGAAGGGAGAAAGAAGAAGAGAAAAGAGGAAAAUUAGAAGGGAAAUAGAAAGGAGUUGAAGAGAAUAAGUUUAAAGAUAAUCCUGAUAUUCUACCGGCGGGACGUCAGUAGAAUUUCCUUCGAUAUCAGCUUUGAGUCUUGUUGCUUUCGAGUCAGGCUUAUAGCUUGAUAGCAGGUUGCUUUUGUUGAACCUUCCGAACCUACUUUUUGGUUGUAAUUUGUACAUUCCUUUUAUGUCAAGUUAGUGCUCCAAAACUAUGAAUUAUAUUAACUCUUGUAUUAAGACAAUUCAAUUAUAUUAUGAAGUUGAUUUUGUUAUUAAUGCUACGUUGAACUCUGAUUAAGUUAGGAUAAGUUUGUGUGUAAGUUUGGGUUCGCAUAGGUAUGGAACCUUGGAGGGGAACCUUGCCUAUG